AUUGAACGCUGGCGGCAUGCCUUACACAUGCAAGUCGAACGGUAACGGGUCCUUCGGGAUGCCGACGAGUGGCGAACGGGUGAGUAAUAUAUCGGAACGUGCCCAGUAGUGGGGGAUAACUGCUCGAAAGAGCAGCUAAUACCGCAUACGACCUGAGGGUGAAAGGGGGGGAUCGCAAGACCUCUCGCUAUUGGAGCGGCCGAUAUCAGAUUAGCUAGUUGGUGGGGUAAAGGCCUACCAAGGCAACGAUCUGUAGUUGGUCUGAGAGGACGACCAGCCACACUGGGACUGAGACACGGCCCAGACUCCUACGGGAGGCAGCAGUGGGGAAUUUUGGACAAUGGGCGCAAGCCUGAUCCAGCAAUGCCGCGUGCAGGAAGAAGGCCUUCGGGUUGUAAACUGCUUUUGUCAGGGAAGAAAUCUUCUGGGCUAAUACCCCGGGAGGAUGACGGUACCUGAAGAAUAAGCACCGGCUAACUACGUGCCAGCAGCCGCGGUAAUACGUAGGGUGCGAGCGUUAAUCGGAAUUACUGGGCGUAAAGCGUGCGCAGGCGGCUUUGCAAGACAGAUGUGAAAUCCCCGGGCUCAACCUGGGAACUGCAUUUGUGACUGCAAGGCUAGAGUACGGCAGAGGGGGAUGGAAUUCCGCGUGUAGCAGUGAAAUGCGUAGAUAUGCGGAGGAACACCAAUGGCGAAGGCAAUCCCCUGGGCCUGUACUGACGCUCAUGCACGAAAGCGUGGGGAGCAAACAGGAUUAGAUACCCUGGUAGUCCACGCCCUAAACGAUGUCAACUGGUUGUUGGACGGCUUGCUGUUCAGUAACGAAGCUAACGCGUGAAGUUGACCGCCUGGGGAGUACGGCCGCAAGGUUGAAACUCGAAGGAAUUGACGGGGACCCGCACAAGCGGUGGAUGAUGUGGUUUAAUUCGAUGCAACGCGAAAAACCUUACCUACCCUUGACAUGUCAAGAAUUCUGCAGAGAUGUGGAAGUGCUCGAAAGAGAACUUGAACACAGGUGCUGCAUGGCCGUCGUCAGCUCGUGUCGUGAGAUGUUGGGUUAAGUCCCGCAACGAGCGCAACCCUUGUCAUUAGUUGCUACGCAAGAGCACUCUAAUGAGACUGCCGGUGACAAACCGGAGGAAGGUGGGGAUGACGUCAGGUCCUCAUGGCCCUUAUGGGUAGGGCUACACACGUCAUACAAUGGCCGGUACAGAGGGCUGCCAACCCGCGAGGGGGAGCCAAUCCCAGAAAACCGGUCGUAGUCCGGAUCGUAGUCUGCAACUCGACUGCGUGAAGUCGGAAUCGCUAGUAAUCGCGGAUCAGCUUGCCGCGGUGAAUACGUUCCCGGGUCU
rnacentral:rRNA from 1 species